AACGAACGCUGGCGGCAGGCUUAACACAUGCAAGUCGAGCGCCCCGCAAGGGGAGCGGCAGACGGGUGAGUAACGCGUGGGAAUCUACCGAGCCCUAAGGAAUAGCUCCGGGAAACUGGAAUUAAUACCUUAUACGCCCUUUGGGGGAAAGAUUUAUCGGGGUUUGAUGAGCCCGCGUUGGAUUAGCUAGUUGGUGGGGUAAAGGCCUACCAAGGCGACGAUCCAUAGAUGGUCUGAGAGGAUGAUCAGCCACAUUGGGAGUGAGACACGGCCCAAACUCCUACGGGAGGCAGCAGUGGGGAAUAUUGGACAAUGGGCGCAAGCCUGAUCCAGCCAUGCCGCGUGAGUGAUGAAGGCCUUAGGGUUGUAAAGCUCUUUCACCGGUGAAGAUAAUGACGGUAACCGGAGAAGAAGCCCCGGCUAACUUCGUGCCAGCCGCCGCGGUAACAC
rnacentral:rRNA from 1 species